AUUAAUAGGAAUCUGCCCGAUAGUGGGGGAUAACCUGGGGAAACCCAGGCUAAUACCGCAUACGUCCUACGGGAGAAAGGGGGCUCCGGCUCCCGCUAUGGGAUGAGCCUAUGUCGGAUUAGCUAGUUGGUGAGGUAACGGCUCACCAAGGCCACGAUCCGUAGCUGGUCUGAGAGGAUGAUCAGCCACAUCGGGACUGAGACACGGCCCGAACUCCUACGGGAGGCAGCAGUGGGGAAUAUUGGACAAUGGGCGAAAGCCUGAUCCAGCCAUGCCGCGUGUGUGAAGAAGGCCCUCGGGUUGUAAAGCACUUUCAGCGAGGAAGAACGCCUAGCGGUUAAUACCCGCUAGGAAAGACAUCACUCGCAGAAGAAGCACCGGCUAACUCCGUGCCAGCAGCCGCGGUAAUACGGAGGGUGCAAGCGUUAAUCGGAAUUACUGGGCGUAAAGCGCGCGUAGGUGGCUUGAUAAGCCGGUUGUGAAAGCCCCGGGCUCAACCUGGGAACGGCAUCCGGAACUGUCAAGCUAGAGUGCAGGAGAGGAAGGUAGAAUUCCCGGUGUAGCGGUGAAAUGCGUAGAGAUCGGGAGGAAUACCAGUGGCGAAGGCGGCCUUCUGGACUGACACUGACACUGAGGUGCGAAAGCGUGGGUAGCAAACAGGAUUAGAUACCCUGGUAGUCCACGCCGUAAACGAUGUCGACCAGCCGUUGGGUGCCUAGCGCACUUUGUGGCGAAGUUAACGCGAUAAGUCGACCGCCUGGGGAGUACGGCCGCAAGGUUAAAACUCAAAUGAAUUGACGGGGGCCCGCACAAGCGGUGGAGCAUGUGGUUUAAUUCGAUGCAACGCGAAGAACCUUACCUACUCUUGACAUCCUGCGAAUUUGGUAGAGAUACCUUAGUGCCUUCGGGAACGCAGAGACAGGUGCUGCAUGGCUGUCGUCAGCUCGUGUUGUGAAAUGUUGGGUUAAGUCCCGUAACGAGCGCAACCCUUGUCCUUAUUUGCCAGCGCGUAAUGGCGGGAACUCUAAGGAGACUGCCGGUGACAAACCGGAGGAAGGUGGGGACGACGUCAAGUCAUCAUGGCCCUUACGAGUAGGGCUACACACGUGCCACAAUGGUCGGUACAAAGGGUUGCCAACUCGCGAGAGUGAGCCAAUCCCGAAAAGCCGAUCCUCAGCCCGG
rnacentral:rRNA from 1 species